GGUAUGGGAUGAGCUUGCGUCCGAUUAGCUAGUUGGCGGGGCAACGGCCCACCAAGGCGACGAUCGGUAGCCGGCCUGAGAGGGUGAUCGGCCACAUUGGGACUGAGAUACGGCCCAGACUCCUACGGGAGGCAGCAGUAGGGAAUAUUGCACAAUGGGGGAAACCCUGAUGCAGCAACGCCACGUGUGGGAAGAAGCAUUUCGGUGUGUAAACCACUGUCAUGAGGGAAUAAGGCCCGCCUUCGGACGGGAUUGAAUGUACCUUGAGAGGAAGCACCGGCAAACUUCGUGCCAGCAGCCGCGGUAAUACGAGGGGUGCAAGCGUUGUUCGGAAUUACUGGGCGUAAAGGGAGCGUAGGCGGAGAUUCAAGCGGAUUGUACAAUCCCGGGGCCCAACCCCGGCUCUGCAGUCCGAACUGGAUCUCUUGGAUAGUUCAGGGGCAGGC
rnacentral:rRNA from 1 species